CAUACACUGACAUAUUCAUCACCGACAUUUUAGGGGCAGAUGUCCAGACUCUCAACUUCUAGGGACUCUACACUAUAUCAGCCCGCAUGCAACCAUGUGAUGCAUCACAAUGGCCGCGAGUGUCACGACAAUGAUUGCCGUGAUAUCAUGGCUUUCCUAAUCUGUAACCUGAACUGAAUCGGCAAUAUAUCUCGGUUUGCGGGGCAGACGACAUUUUCUUUUUGCCGAUCGUCGCUAAGAGAAACUUGGAUUAUCUAACCUCAAAAGUCAUCAACAACAAUAUCUCGCUUCGCGAAGCAGAGUGACACUUUUCCUGCUACAUUCGUCCGUUUCGUAUAAAAACGCGUCGAAUCAGCCUGAUUUCAUCAAUAUCGAAGUGUUGUGUUUAAUUAAUCUAUCAUCUACUACUUGCACCGCCAUUCGAUCCCAACACCUGAGCAGUAUCCUUCACGCAUUUUGUUUAUAAUGGGAGUACACAUACGAGUGAUAGCAUUUAAUUCAAUAUCAAUAUUAUAACUUAGCGGGCUAUAAGUGUGAUUGAUGACUUCUAUAUAUUAUGAAUUUUGUUGCAGCGACACUGGAAAGUUGAUCUUCAAGCCCACACAACCCUCUUUUCCCCAUGAGAUUUAGAGUAUUCGCAACCUCUUGAUAUUUUGAAAACUUUGAGUUCUACAAAAGAAUUUGGAGGAUGGAGGUAACGAGAAAUUGAAGGCACACCUAACAGAACAGAUGUAUGAAAAUCUUGGAAUGGUAAUGGUUUUUACAAUGGUCAGUGCAGCUCAAGAAUGGCUGAACGUACAGUGGGACAAGAUAAACCUGAGGAGAGAGGAGACUGCGGCACAAAAACUGAAGGAGGAAAAGGAUGGAGAAGGGAAUAUUGAAAACACGGGCUAAGACGUUCGAAAUAUAUUCAUUCCCCCAGACGACAAUCGUAAUGGUUUUAUAGACUAUUUGAGAGAACUCUCGUAACUGUCGAACCUUUUUCAAGCUGGAAAGAGAACUUUGAUGAAGAAAUGGGCUACACGAAACGGAAAGAAUUAGCGGAUAGCGAGGGCAAAAAGUUAACAGGCAGGGUGAUGCUGUAAAAGUAGAAUGAGACAGUUUGGUCCAAAACCUAGACGAUGAUGAGGACUAUCCAGACGAUGAUGAGGACGACCCAGACUAUGAUUCAAAUAUCUCGGAUGAUAGUGCCUAAACAAGCUUGAUUCAGUAGCCAUCAAAGUGAUACGUGGAACAAAUUAAAUUUAAGGAAUUUACUGAAUUAUUACAAAGGGAAAAAGAAAAAUGAGUAAAAUGUAUAUCGCAUUCUC